rnacentral:rRNA from 1 species
UUAGAGUUUGAUCCUGGCUCAGGAUGAACGCUGGCGGCAUGCCUAAUACAUGCAAGUCGAACGAGAGGAAGGAAAGCUUGCUUUUCUGAAUCUAGUGGCGAACGGGUGAGUAACACGUAGGUAACCUGCCCAUGUGCCCGGGAUAACUUCUGGAAACGGAUGCUAAAACCGGAUAGGUAGCAGACAAGCAUUUGACUGCUAUUAAAGUGGCUAAGGCCAUGAACAUGGAUGGACCUGCGGUGCAUUAGCUAGUUGGUGAGGUAACGGCCCACCAAGGCGACGAUGCAUAGCCGGCCUGAGAGGGCGGACGGCCACAUUGGGACUGAGACACGGCCCAAACUCCUACGGGAGGCAGCAGUAGGGAAUUUUCGUCAAUGGGGGGAACCCUGAACGAGCAAUGCCGCGUGAGUGAGGAAGGUCUUCGGAUCGUAAAGCUCUGUUGUAAGAGAAAAACGACAUUCAUAGGGAAUGAUGAGUGAGUGAUGGUAUCUUACCAGAAAGUCACGGCUAACUACGUGCCAGCAGCCGCGGUAAUACGUAGGUGGCGAGCGUUAUCCGGAAUGAUUGGGCGUAAAGGGUGCGUAGGUGGCAGAACAAGUCUGGAGUAAAAGGUAUGGGCUCAACCCGUACUGGCUCUGGAAAACUGUUCAGCUAGAGAACAGAAGAGGACGGCGGAACUCCAUGUGUAGCGGUAAAAUGCGUAGAUAUAUGGAAGAACACCGGUGGCGAAGGCGGCCGUCUGGUCUGUUGCUGACACUGAAGCACGAAAGCGUGGGGAGCAAAUAGGAUUAGAUACCCUAGUAGUCCACGCCGUAAACGAUG